rnacentral:rRNA from 1 species
UACGGGGGGGGCAAGCGUUGUCCGGAAUCACUGGGCGUAAAGGGCGCGUAGGCGGCCUGAUAAGUAGGGGGUGAAAUCCUGCGGCUUAACCGCAGGGCUGCCUUCUAAACUGUCGGGCUCGAGCACAGUAGAGGCAGGUGGAAUUCCCGGUGUAGCGGUGGAAUGCGUAGAGAUCGGGAAGAACAUCAGUGGCGAAGGCGGCCUGCCGGGCUGUUGCUGACGCUGAGGCGCGACAGCGUGGGGAGCAAACAGG